GCAUAUCAAUAAGCGGAGGAAAAGAAAAUAACAAUGAUUCCCCUAGUAACUGCGAGUGAAGAGGGACAAGCUCAAAUUUUAAAUCCAUCGGGUUUUACCUGAUCGAGUUGUAAUUUGAAGAAGCGUUUUCUGCGUAUUUGAUCAGCCUAAGUCCUAUUGGAUGAGGCAUCACGGAGGGUGAUAAUCCCGUCCGGUUGAUCAUUUGCGUUUUACGAUACGCUUUCUAAGAGUCGAGUUGUUUGGGAUUGCAGCUUAAAUGGGAGGUAAAUUUCUCCUAAGGCUAAAUAGCGGCGAGAGACCGAUAGCGAACAAGUACCGUGAGGGAAAGAUGAAAAGAACUUUGAAAAGAGAGUUAAACAGUACGUGAAAUUGUUGAAAGGGAAACGAUUGAAGCCAGUCGUACCUCCGGGUAAUCAGCCUUUCGGGUGCGAUUAUGUGGAGUGUGAGGAGCUUAAACACCUUCAUGUUUUGCAUAUUCGUACUCUUGGGUGUACUUGCGCGUGUGGUUGGUUAACAUCAAUUUUGGUGGUCAUAAAAUGACUGGAGGAAUGUAGCUUCGAUCUCGUAUUGGAGUGUUAUAGCCUUCGGUAGAUGUGAUGAUCGAGAUUGAGGAUUGCAACGGAUACCCUUCGGGGCUACCUGUCUGGUCUCUGAUCGUUGCUCUGGUGCCGAAAGCUUGCUUACGGUUAUCAAAGUCGAUGGUCAAUAGGUUAGAACGGGUUAAAUUCGUUAAGGAUGUUGACGUAAUGGCUUUAAACGAC
rnacentral:rRNA from 1 species